rnacentral:rRNA from 1 species
CAGUCGCAUCUGUUGGGAUUCAGCCUGGCUUCUGCCUGGUGUAUUUCCUUUCCGAUGGGUCAGCAUCAGUUUCGACCAAGGGAAAAAGACAUUUGGAAUGUGGCUGUCUUCGGGCAGUGUUAUAGCCUUGUGUUGUAUGUCUUGGUUGGGACUGAGGAACGCAACGGAUACCCUUCGGGGCUACCUGUCUGGUCUCUGAUCGUUGCUCUGGUGCCGAAAGCUUGCUUACGGUUACAAGU